UUAAAUGCACGCAGUAGGGAAUCGCUUUUGCCCCUCUGGUCGGUGUCUGAUACUACAACCGAGGCGGUCAUUAGCACAUGUUUAAUGUAAAUUUUCUUUUUUAUGGUAAAUUUGGGUAAAGUUUCCAGGUAUUAGUAAUUAGAGUAUUAAAUUUAACAUUAAAUUAUUUGGGUAAAGUUUCCAGGUAUUAGUGAUUAGAGUAUUAAAUUUAACAUUAAAUUGAUUUGGUGUAUUUGUCUGCAGGUGGGCUUGGGAGUAGCUUAAGGGUUUAAGAGUCGAGAUUUUUUUUUUCCCCACUCCUGUUGGGAAGUUUGUUACUUAAACUUUUUUUUUUAACAGGUGUUUUACCAAUUAUAUUUAAGAUGCUUAUAAUGCAGAGUAAUCAAGGGCAUAUGUAUGCUGCAGAAAAUUUAUGUCAAGACUCAUGGUUUUAAUUUUUUUUUUUUUUGUGACAUUUAAAUAUACUUUGAUAGUUUGAUGUUUUGAAUGUUAUGACAUUUAAUUCAACAUUAACGAUCCUUGAUGUUUCAAUUUGAAAGAGUCCUGUGCGGGCUGAGUCCGAGUCCAUUGAGGCUAAGAUGACUGCCUGUUCCGUUUGGCCUUGGCUUUCACCUUACAUUGUGUGUGUGACCUAUGCCCUUUGACCCAUUGGCUGACCUAACCGGAAGCCAUGAUGACAGCAGCCUUUUGCCAAUAGACCAGGGUGAUGGUGAGGAAUCCCAUUGGUUUUAAUAUGUUAAGAGAUUUAAUAAAGCGGUUGAGCUGGAGUUUUAAAGAGAAACAAUGUUGCCGCUGUCUGACCUGCUUUGUAAAAGAGCAGUUGGCUUCAAUUAUAAUUGGCCUGGUGUAGGUACUUAAAUUUAAUUUUUAUAUUGUACCUUUUUGGUUUAA